rnacentral:rRNA from 1 species
GUCUGCAACUCGACUCCAUGAAGCUGGAUUCGCUAGUAAUCGCGCAUCAGCCAUGGCGCGGUGAAUACGUUCCCGGGCCUUGUACACACCGCCCGUCAAGCCAUGGAAGCCGGGAGUGCCUGAAGUGUGCAACCGCAAGGAGCGCCCUAAGGUAAAACUGGUGACUGGGGCUAAGUCGUAACAAGGUACC